GACGUAGGGUCCGAGCGUUGUCCGGAGUUACUGGGCGUAAAGGGCUCGUAGGCGGUUUGUCGCGUCGGGAGUGAAAACUCAGGGCUUAACCCUGAGCCUGCUUCCGAUACGGGCAGACUAGAGGUAUGCAGGGGAGAACGGAAUUCCUGGUGUAGCGGUGAAAUGCGCAGAUAUCAGGAGGAACACCGGUGGCGAAGGCGGUUCUCUGGGCCGAUACUGACACUGAGGAGCGAAAAGCGUGGGGAGCGAACAGG
rnacentral:rRNA from 1 species